GAAAGUAUGCAGAAAAUAAAGUCAUCCCAAAACGAUGCUUCUUUUUCAGAAAGUCAAGAAGAAUCUGCCCCAGAAGUCAUUGUGCUUAAAUCAAAGGAACCCAAAAAAUAUGACAACAAACUGAACAUGGCUUGUUUGGCGAGGAAUUUCUACCCUAAGAACAUCAGCCUGGAUGUGCCCAAGGGUGACACUGUAUAUGAUCUGAAGGCACCUCUUGUCACAUCUGAGGGGAUGUAUAGCACCAUCAAGGUGGUGGGAGUGGAACCAGACGCCGAGGUGACCUGCAAGGCUAUGCACAAGGGGAACAAGGAUACACCCAACACAAUCCUGCCAGAAAAGAAAGCUGAAGAAUUUGAGACAGCUAAUGCUUGCGACAUUACAGAUGCAUCUACAAAAGAUGUCAAAAUGGAGAAAUCAAAUAUGCUGUUCAUGGCUGUUUUGGGUUUGAGAGUCCUGCUGGCAAAAAGCAUCGCCUUCAAUACAAUCAUGAGUAUCAAGCUGUUUCUCUUCUGA